rnacentral:rRNA from 1 species
UACGAAGGGGGCUAGCGUUGUUCGGAAUUACUGGGCGUAAAGAGCGCGUAGGCGGUAUAUCAAGUUGGAAGUGAAAUCCCAGGGCUUAACCCUGGAAAUGCUUUCAAAACUGGUAUACUAGAGAGCGAUAGAGGAUGGUGGAAUUCCUAGUGUAGAGGUGAAAUUCUUAGAUAUUAGGAGGAACACCGGUGGCGAAGGCG